rnacentral:rRNA from 1 species
GACGAACGCUGGCGGCGUGCUUAACACAUGCAAGUCGAACGGAAAGGCCCUGCUUUUGUGGGGUGCUCGAGUGGCGAACGGGUGAGUAACACGUGAGUAACCUGCCCUUGACUUUGGGAUAACUUCAGGAAACUGGGGCUAAUACCGGAUAGGAGCUCCUGCUGCAUGGUGGGGGUUGGAAAGUUUCGGCGGUUGGGGAUGGACUCGCGGCUUAUCAGCUUGUUGGUGGGGUAGUGGCUUACCAAGGCUUUGACGGGUAGCCGGCCUGAGAGGGUGACCGGCCACAUUGGGACUGAGAUACGGCCCAGACCCCUACGGGAGGCAGCAGUGGGGAAUAUUGCACAAUGGGCGGAAGCCUGAUGCAGCAACGCCGCGUGCGGGAUGACGGCCUUCGGGUUGUAAACCGCUUUCGCCUGUGACGAAGCGUGAGUGACGGUAAUGAGUAAAGAAGCACCGGCUAACUACGUG